rnacentral:rRNA from 1 species
UACGUAGGAGACGAGCGUUGUCCGGAAUUACUGGGCGUAAAGGGCGCGUAGGCGGCCGCCUAAGUCAGACGUGAAAUCCCUCGGCUCAACCGGGGAACUGCGUCUGAUACUGGGUGGCUUGAAUCCGGGAGAGGGAUGCGGGAAUUCCAGGUGUAGCGGUGAAAUGCGUAGGAUAUCUGGAGGAACACCGGUGGCGAAGGCGGCGUCCUGGACCAACACUGACACUGAGGAGCGAAAGCCAGGGGAGCAAACGGG